rnacentral:rRNA from 1 species
UACGUAGGGUGCGAGCGUUGUCCGGAAUUACUGGGCGUAAAGAGCUCGUAGGUGGUUUGUCGCGUUGUUCGUGAAAACCUGAGGCUUAACCUUGGGCGUGCGGGCGAUACGGGCAGACUGGAGUACUGCAGGGGAGACUGGAAUUCCUGGUGUAGCGGUGAAAUGCGUAGAUAUCAGGAAGAACACCAAUGGCGAAGGCAGCUCUCUGGGACGGUACUGACGCUGAGGUGCGAAAGCGUGGGGGAGCAAACAGG